rnacentral:rRNA from 1 species
GGUUGACCUCGGAUCAGGUAGGAAUACCCGCUGAACUUAAGCAUAUCAAUAAAGCGGAGGA